rnacentral:misc_RNA from 1 species
AAGUCGUAACAAGGUUUCCGUAGGUGAACCUGCGGAAGGAUCAUUAACAAAUUCCAAUUAAAAUUAACCCUGUGUGAACCGAUUGCCAUUUGAUUUGUCACUUUACUGUACAUUUCGAGUGGUAAUGAGUAGGCAAUCAGGCUUAAUUGUCUGAAUGUCUGCUCGCCAUAAACGCUUCAUUGUUGGCUGUUAAAUGUAACGUAUGUGUUCUCUUGUAUAUACACAGUUGAUAUUGCUAUCACUUUAUUGUGUUGCAAUUCGAUUUUAUACAAUGUUUAACCAUGCAAAACUUAAAUUUAGACAACUUUUAACAAUGGAUCUCUUGGCUCUU